GAUGAACGCUGGCGGCGUGCCUAAUACAUGCAAGUCGAGCGAACAGACGAGGAGCUUGCUCCUCUGACGUUAGCGGCGGACGGGUGAGUAACACGUGGAUAACCUACCUAUAAGACUGGGAUAACUUCGGGAAACCGGAGCUAAUACCAGAUAAUAUAUUGAACCGCAUGGUUCAAUAGUGAAAGACGGUUUUGCUGUCACUUAUAGAUGGAUCCGCGCCGCAUUAGCUAGUUGGUAAGGUGACGGCUUACCAAGGCGACGAUGCGUAGCCGACCUGAGAGGGUGAUCGGCCACACUGGAACUGAGACACGGUCCAGACUCCUACGGGAGGCAGCAGUAGGGAAUCUUCCGCAAUGGGCGAAAGCCUGACGGAGCAACGCCGCGUGAGUGAUGAAGGUCUUCGGAUCGUAAAACUCUGUUAUUAGGGAAGAACAAAUGUGUAAGUAACUAUGCACGUCUUGACGGUACCUAAUCAGAAAGCCACGGCUAACUACGUG
rnacentral:rRNA from 1 species